GAGCCCGUGGCUCAACGGUAGAGCGUUCGACUCAAAUACCAAAGGUCGCGGGUUCG
rnacentral:tRNA from 1 species